rnacentral:rRNA from 2 species
GUGGGCAAGCGGCACAUGCCGUCGCCGAUAGCGGCUGCCCGCUCGCCUUGCGACAAGAGGCGCCGCGGCCGUCGGCCAGCGACCGACCUCGACUUCACCAUCGCUACGCGGCGCGACCGACGCCCAUCGCGCCCACGCGGCAGCGGCAGCGGCAGCGGCAGCGGCAGCGGCAGCGGCAGCGGACAAUCAUCGCCCAUCCGGAUAACGACGAUACGCCCCGUGCCGCCUCAUCGGCACGCCGAACCGCCCCGCCCGCCGCCGGGCGCGCGCCCGCGUCAACCCGCCGCGAUCGGCGCGGUCGACGACAGCACCGCCGCCGCGAUGAACACGCCGAUCAUCGCGAGCGCCUCGAGAUGCAGCACGUUGCGAAACGUGUGCGCGUCCUCGGUCGACGCGGUGCGCCGCAGUCGCGGCAGCGCCGAGAAGCGGUUGAGCGCGGCGAGCACGAGCGCCAGCGCGACAAGCGCGAGUUUGAGCAACAACACGCGUCCCCACGUGCUGCCGUCGAGCGCGGCGAAAUCGCCGCCCGUGCCGCGGACCGUGUUGAGCGCGCCCGUGACGAUCACGAAGGCGAGCGCCGCGAUCGACGCGCCCGACAGCCGCUGCGCGAUGCGGAUCAUCGCGCCGCGCGCGAUCGACGAGCCGAGCGCCGGCAACACGGCCAUCCCGCCCGCGAUCACGAGCCCGCCCCAGACAGCCGUCGCGGCGACGUGCACGGUCUGCACACCGACCGCGGCCGAGAACGCGCCCGAAUCGGCCGCGUGCCCGAGCGACGCCUUGCCCGCCGCGACGACGAGCGUCGCGAGCGCGAGCAACGCCCCCGCGAGCGGGCCGCUCGGCCGCGCGAGCGCGACGGCGAGCAGCAGCAGCGCGCCGCCGCACGCGACGGCCCACGCAUGGCCGACGUGCGUCUGCGCGAGCACGGUCGGCAUCGCGCCGAACGCGCCGCGCAGGCCCGCGCCGCUCAUCGACGCGGCCUGAUAGACGAGCCAGCCGGCAUCGGCGAGAACGAGCACGGCCGCCGCGACGGCCAGCGAGCGCAGCGACUGGCGCCACGCGGGAUGCGACGGCGCGAUCACGCUGCGCGCGCCGUCGUUCGCGAGCCACGCGCCGAUGAACGCGGAGCCGAGCGCAACCGCGAACGCGACGUCGCCGAGCGCGGCGAGCGCCGCCUGGCCGAACCAGAGGCUGUCGAGCUUCAUCGCGCACCGCCCGCGCCGCGCGCACCGGAUGCGGCCCCGGCGCGCGGCGCGCGCAAGGCAUGAAAGGAUCGGCCGUUGUUUUCAGG